CUAUAGAUAGAUGACUGGUAGCCCCAGGAGAGUUGGGAGCAGGGCGUAUGGGCCACAAGGAGGAAAUAUAGCCCAUUUCCUGGUUAGUACCACGGACAGAGCUGUCAGUAGCAAGAAACAUCCUUGGAGUUAGCCUUGGUGUUAAAGAACUCAAAGAAACCAGUGUUGCAUUUUAAAGGUGCUCCUUAUCUCUAUUAUGAUUGGCAGUGGGGUUGGGACUGUGUGCUGCUGCAUCCUCAUAGGGCAGUCAUUGGACCUGAACAUGACUAGCUCUGAAUAAAAAGGUGUCUCACCCACCUGUGCACAUGGAGAAAGGAAAAGUUGAUAGAGGAGAAUAACAUCUCCUUGACCUUUCUCUGUCACUUCUCCGAGUUUUGAAAAACUCACAAUACUUUAAGGAACAAUACCUAGCCUUUCUGAUGACACAAUGAAUUCCUGUGCAUUCCAAUCUUAGAAUCUGUAGGGCAUGGAGACUGCUCUGUGGCACAACUAGAGAAGGAGAGAUGUGGGGGACAGUUGGAAGAGUGGUAAAGCAGUAGAGGCAGAAUGCUCAUUUUGGUAAUCAAGGAGCACCAAAACAUAACAAAUGAAUUCUCCCCGAUACCUCCUAAGGAUGAUGACUUAGCACUCACUUUCCCUAGAAGUAAUGGCUACAGAGUUGAAGAGGGGCAGAUAAUCCAGGAUCUUCCCAGAAGAGACAUUCCCACAGCAGGCAGGCAAAAAUUUGCUUUUCUGAGUUCACAUCACAUGUGUGAGUAAAGCUAACGAAAGGGGGUGAGGUAUGUACAGCUGCAUUGGGAACAUGGCUAAUUCAAGGCAAACUCGUUUGGCUCAGAGGGAACAACCAGUUACUUCAGGCAAGCAGCAGAAGCCCACUUGUUAAUGAGCAGCUGGUUCCUGUUGAAUGCCAUCAGGAUGAUUCAGCCACCCACCAGGAACACCAGUAACAGCAAGUGCACGCACAGAAAUCUGCAAAACUUUCUUCUUUUGAUGCCAACACUAUUACUCUGGCAAAGUCAAAACCCUUUAUGGAUUUACCAGUUCAACUAAAUGUGACCUUGUUCCCCUCACAAAUACCAGCUCACUCUCAAAUAAACACAACUUCUGGCUGAUUAAAAUGCAACGUUCUUCCACAGUUGAGUGCACCCUGCAGUGAGUCCCUCCUCUGUGCUGUGUCUACAUUCUCUCCCUUUUUCAUUUUUUCACUGUUCAAUGAAACUUCAAAGGAUGAAUGAGAUCCAUAUACACUCAGAGUCCACCUUGUAUGUUGUCCUGCUUACUGCUGACCACAUGCAUUUAAAGUUAUGCCUCAAGUUGUUUUAUUG